GAAUCUCUCUAUAUAAAAGGAUAGUGGGCAGGGGUCUGCAAAGAGAGGGGUCAUGUGGGAGGAAAGAGCCCCUUCAGGAGAAGGAGGCUGCCUUUGUGUGAAUUAGAUGAGGAAACAAGAUGAACAAGAGCUGUAAUUCUUGAGUUUGUCUUGUGGGCCUUCAUGGAAAGCCGCAAGUAAAGUGUUUGAAAACAGAAGAGCUGGAUCAAGCCAGGAGUUCAUGUUGGACAGUUGUUUUUAACUUUCCUUCUUCACAAAGUGGAUUGGAUCAGUUGAAUACUGGACUUUUUAAAGACAAAAGUGGGGAGUGGGAAGGACAUGUGUGAGAACUGUUAAGUUAAACGUUUCUUGUUAGUGAAUAUUUGCAUAAAUACGUAUCACUUGUUUUAUC